GUUAAAGAAGCUACCUUCUCAUUGGUACCUUCACAUAGCAACAUGUUCUCUCUAACUCUCCUGCUGCUGCUUUUUGCUGGAUCCUAUGUGAUGUGUGAGCAGCUGCAACAGCCAGACUCUUUAACUGUGCAGCCAGGUCAGCGUCUGACCGUCAGCUGUCAGGUCUCUUAUUCAGUUGGCAGCUACUACACAGCUUGGAUCAGACAGCCUGCUGGGAAAGGACUGGAGUGGAUUGGGAGCAAAUAUACAGGAGAUUCAUACUACAAAAAAUCACUGGAGAACAAGUUCAGUAUUGCCUUAGAUGCUUCCAGUAACACAGUGACUCUGAAUGGACAGAAUAUGCAGCCUGAAGACUCUGCUGUGUAUUACUGUGCCAGAGAGCCACAGUAA